UACGAAGGGGGCUAGCGUUGCUCGGAAUCACUGGGCGUAAAGCGCACGUAGGCGGACUCUUAAGUCGGUGGUGAAAUCCUGGAGCUCAACUCCAGAACUGCCUUCGAUACUGAGAGUCUCGAGUCCGAGAGAGGUGAGUGGGACUGCGAGUGUAGAGGUGAAAUUCGUAGAUAUUCGCAAGAACACCAGUGGCGAAGGCGGCUCACUGGCUCGGUACUGACGCUGAGGUGCGAAAGCGUGGGGAGCAAACAGG
rnacentral:rRNA from 1 species